rnacentral:rRNA from 1 species
UGUGUAGGCGGCUUAAUAAGUCAGUGGUGAAAUCCUGCGGCUCAACCGUAGAACUGCCAAUGAUACUGUUAAGCUUGAGUACAGAUGAGGUAGGCGGAAUGUGUAGUGUAGCGGUGAAAUGCUUAGAUAUUACACAGAACACCGAUUGCGAAGGCAGCUUACUAAACUGAUACUGACGCUGAUGCACGAAAGCGUGGGGAUCGAACAGGAUUAGAUACCCUGGUAGUCC